GUGCUUGCUUUGGCAGUCCAUGUACUAAAAUUGGACCGAUGCAGCGAAGAUUAGCAUGGGCCCUGAGCAAGGGUAACAUGCAGAUCCUUUCCAGGUUCCUUAUUUUU